UACGAAGGGGGCUAGCGUUGUUCGGAAUUACUGGGCGUAAAGCGUAUGUAGGCGGAUCGUUAAGUCGGGGGUGAAAUCCCGAGGCUCAACCUCGGAACUGCCUUCGAUACUGGCGAUCUUCGAGUCCGGGAGAGGUGAGUGGAACUCCGAGUGUAGAGGUGAAAUUCGUAGAUAUUCGGAAGAACACCAGUGGCGAAGGCGGCUCACUGGCCCGGUACUGACGCUGAGGUGCGAAAGCGUGGGGAGCAAACAGG
rnacentral:rRNA from 1 species